rnacentral:pre_miRNA from 3 species
AGUGUGAUUGCUGGAUCUUAUGGUAAGCAUAUAUUUAGUUUUAUAAGAAACUGCCAAACUGUCUUCCAAAGUGGCUGUACCAUUUUGCAUUCCCAUCAGCAAU